UACGUAGGGGGCUAGCGUUGUCCGGAAUCAUUGGGCGUAAAGAGCGUGUAGGCGGCCCGGUAAGUCCGCUGUAAAAGUCAAAGGCUCAACCUUUGAAUGUCAGUGGAUACUGCCGGGCUAGAGUCCGGAAGAGGCGAGUGGAACUCCCGGUGUAGCGGUGGAAUGCGCAGAUAUCAGGAAGAACACCCGUGGCGAAGGCGGCUCUCUGGGACGGUACUGACGCUGAGACGCGAAAGCGUGGGGAGCGAACAGG
rnacentral:rRNA from 1 species